GUGGAAAAAUCUCUGGAGUCAGAGGUCUGGGCGCAGCUCUGGACUCUGCGUAUAACAGUGAGUGUCAGGAUUAGGGUGAGAUGGGCCAGAGGAGGGGUGAAGGCCCAAGGCCUAGCUGAUGACAGCUAGC
rnacentral:miRNA from 1 species